UCUUCCUUUGGCCAGCGUGCCUGAGGGACCCACGCCGUCAAAAUCUUCUGUUUGCCAUCUCAAGGACCGUCGCUGAGAGAGAAUUUCUGGUGCGAAGUUUCUGGCUACGGAAGAGAAUGCAGAAUAGACGGUCCCCCUCAGAGGGCGCCGGGAAGAGUCUCACACGAAGGCCCCGUCUCUUUUUGCAGCUGGCGUUGACUGCUCCAGGGCCCCGAAAACACCGACUGAGCACUUGAUCUCCCAGAACAUUCAUCAGACAAACGACGAGCAUCAGACCGUGAUCGACGACGUGUUCUCUGCUGGAGAUGGAGAGCGGCAGACAGACCGAUUCACGCAAAGGAGAUGCUGGCAGUCCCGUCAUUCGUGAGGCCGAUGCCAGGAAGGAGCUGCGUGGGACCGUCGGCGGGGCGCUAGCCGUGCCGAGAAGGAGAAACCCGCCGUCUAAACGGGGGACCCACGGGUCGCAUCGCACCUGAAUGGAGUCCGAGACAGGACCCACCGCCCUCCUGGAUGAACGCGGGGACUUCCUCUGCAGCCUGCUGAGUGAUUCGUUGAAAGCGAGCAAGUGAACGUCACGGUGUGAAGCCUGCUCUGGAGCCGAUUUUUCCUCGGCGGUUAUUUUUGCAGCUUCUCAUGUCAUUUUGCCCGAGGCAGAAAUCUUCAGCCCUCGCCGAAAUAAACCUUGUCCCACUGAAA